UUGACAGUUCCUCAAAUGGCACCAGAUGGGUUGAACAGAUUAAAUUCAUGAAAAAUAAGAUUUUCUCUGGUCUUUUAGAUUUAGGGACCAAGAUUCUACUCUGGGAAUAAAGACUGCUCUCUUCAACACCUCUGCUGAACAGGGGAAGACUCUGAACCAACAGUAAGUAAAAAUGCCACAGCAUUCCCCUACCAUGUUUAUGUUGCCUUUUUAUUGUUUCAGCAUUCACCUUGCAAUCAUAAGCCUUUGGCUAAUUUCCAGGGUUCCAGCAAAGAUGAUUCUGAUAGUUUCACUUGUUUGUCCAAUGUUUCAUUGAAAAUGUAGAGCACUGGAGCCACUCACUUAUCACAUAAAAUGUGACUCCUGUAUGAUUUAUUUCAUAAUAUACAUAAUCUGGUAUCGAACUAUAUGUUUAAAUCAUAUGGAGAAGAUUUGAAAGUAUGAAGUCUGAUUGUAAGUUACUACAGAGUGACAUAAAUCGAGGGCUGCUCUUUGGAGCAUAGACAAAGAAAUACUAAAAUAGGAUGAUUUUGAUGGGCAAACAAAAGGAGGAGAGUUUUGGUAAACAGAUGAUGAGUGCAAUUUGGGACAUCUUGUUUUAAUCUACCUUCAAAGGGAGUUCUGGCUGGUGAAGACCGCAUCCAUGUCUUAGGCUGAUCACUAGACUGACUCUCAAAAUGCAUACUGUCAUUCCUUCAUUCAAGACAUUCAAUUUUCUUCACCCCUUUCCCUUACUGGCCAACAACAACAACCCCCAAAAUUGAAUGUCCUAUGUCCUUAACUCCCGUUUUAUUCUGUGUAGGCCAAAGGUGUAUCAAUCAUUAGAGACACAAUGAAAACAUUGUAUAUAUUCUCCUACAUGCAGCUAUUAGGCUGGGUUGUUUCCUUAUUGUUACAGUGUUCUUUAUAAUUAAUGAAUUGCUAGUUUUUUUUUUAUCAGUUACAUAAGGACUUUUGCCAAAUCUUUCUGAAGUGAUUACUGAUUUUCAAUUUCUCCAUGCAAUACUAUAAAUUUCUGUUUUAUUUUACAAUAGAUUAUUUUUGAAUAAUUUUUAUAUUCAAAAACAAAACAGAGCAGAAGGUAGAGAGAUUUCUUAUCUACCACUUUUUCCUCUACUGUAUAGCCAUGUUACCAACAUCUGCCACCAGAAUGGUACUUUUUUAAACACUGAUGAAUCUACACUGACACAUCAAUAUCACCUCAAAUCCAUAGUUUACAUUAUUGUUAACUUUUGGUGUUGUACAUUCUUUUGAGUUUUGACACAUGUUUAAUGAUAUGCAUCCACACUUAUAUAAUCAUACAGAAUGCUUUUCCUACCCUAAAAAUUCUCUGUACUUCACCAGUUCAUCCUUCCAUCCCAAUUAAACUCUGGAAAUAUACUUUUACUAUUUUCAUACUUUGACUUGUCCCAGAAAAUUGUGUUAUUAGAACCAUAUAGUAAAUAGUAUUUUCCGGUUGACUUUCUUCACUGAGUACUACACAUGUAAGGGUCCUAUACAUCUUUUCAUUUUUUUCAUAAUAGAUUUUAUAUUAGUGCUGAAUUAUAUCCCAUCAUCUACAUAUGCCACAAUGUAUUUACCCAUCUAACUACUGAAUAAAAUCUUUUGUUAUCUUUAAGUUUUUGCAAUUGUAAAUAAAUCUUCCACAAACAUCUGUGUACAGGUUUUUUUAUGGAUAUGGUUUCAACUCCUCUGUAUGAAUAUCAAGGAUUUUUACUGCUGAGCUCUACAUAUUUUUCUUUUGAUGGCCCAUUAGUCCUUCCUGGAUGUUUAAAAAUCUGUGGGUGACAUUUUCCUUCCUCUGAGUGAAGGAUGUGGGGAAAAUGACACCUAAGACAGUAUGUGGUCUGGGGUAAAGAAGAGAAAAGAAAAAAACAAAAAAUUUAAUCCUUCCCAUCAGUCAUUUCCCUGCAGCAAGACAGACCCUGGAAAGCAGAUAGCCAUUAACCUAAGAAUAUCAACCUUGCCCCCAUGACAAUACCGUGACCCUGGGAGGGCAAGGCAAGCACUGGACCCUGACCUCUAACCUCCAUGCCUGCCCUGUAAAAACACUGCCUAACAGAAACUGUGACCAGUAAAAACAAGUUCCAGAUGUUCACAACCUACCCCUGGCCAGUUGAAGUUUUCGCAGACUAAAUGUAGUCUAUGUAAACCCAUACACCUCCCAUAAUGGGUGCCAUUUUCCAUCCAGGAAGUGUGCCCAGAAGCUCAGAUUCCUGUCUGCACUGCUGUGUAAAGGUUUUCCUGAAUUCAUGAGGUCUGUAACUGUUUCAGUCAUUUUGUGCUUGCACUGAAGAAUGCAAUAUUUUAUAUCUUUUACUGUGCAUUUUCUAGUGGUGAAUCCUCUUAUUUUUUGUUUUCAGUGUUCACUUUGUACCAUAAUUCUUCAAGAUUAUAUUAUUUUGUAUAGAAAUUGUCUGUUAUUUUCUUUCAGGGCAUUAAAGACUCCAUUCUCUUCUUUUGGCUUCCACUAGAGCUGCACAGAAGUCAGCUCUCUUUACCAGGUUUUUGAAAAACUCAUUAUUUCUAUC
rnacentral:lncRNA from 1 species